GUCAAAUGCUGCUGAGACGUAAAACAUGAUGAAGUCCAAGAAUUGACUGGAGGGUCUGGAUGGCCGAUACUAGGCAUGCAUGUGCAUACAGAAAAGAGAGUAACCCAAUAGUGAGGAAGAAAUUGAUGCUGCAGGAGAGAGGGAAUAAUUGCCGAAGCAAAGAUCUUGAGGCCUGCUUCCACUGAGGGACUGGAGGCUCCUUGAGCAAAAUUAUCUACCUCUUCACCUUUGGAUCUUUCACAGUUCCCAGUUCGGUGUACUACAGAUUGUACUUGCUAAAUAAAAAAUCAUUGUCAUGGUUUACCUAAA
rnacentral:lncRNA from 1 species